rnacentral:rRNA from 1 species
GAAAGAUUCAUCGGAAGAGGAUGGGCAUGCGGCGCAUUAGCUAGACGGCGGGGUAACGGCCCACCGUGGCGACGAUGCGUAGGGGUUCUGAGAGGAAGGUCCCCCACACUGGUACUGAGACACGGACCAGACUCCUACGGGAGGCAGCAGUGAGGAAUAUUGGUCAAUGGGAGAGAUCCUGAACCAGCCAAGCCGCGUGAGGGAAGACGGCCCUAUGGGUUGUAAACCUCUUUUGUCGGAGAACAAAACCCGGGACGUGUCCCGGACUGCGUGUAUCCGAAGAAAAAGCAUCGGCUAACUCCGUGCCAGCAGCCGCGGUAAUACGGAGGAUGCGAGCGUUAUCCGGAUUUAUUGGGUUUAAAGGGUGCGUAGGCGGUCCGUUAAGUCAGCGGUAAAAUUGCGGGGCUCAACCCCGUCGAGCCGUUGAAACUGGCAGACUUGAGUUGGCGAGAAGUGCGCGGAAUGCGCGGUGUAGCGGUGAAAUGCAUAGAUAUCGCGCAGAACUCCGAUUGCGAAGGCAGCGUACCGGCGCCAGACUGACGCUGAGGCACGAAAGCGUGGGGAUCGAACAGGAUUAGAUACCCUGGUAGUCCACGCAGUAAACGAUGAAUGCUGGUUGUCCGGGUCGAAUGAGAUCUGG